CUCGCGAUAGCCAGUUGGUAGGCGUCGGCUACUGAUGCCGAAGGUCGCGGGUUCAAAUCCUGCCUGCGGUG